rnacentral:rRNA from 1 species
CUCGCCUGCAUGAAGUCGGAAUUGCUGUAAUCGCAGAUCAGCAUGCUGCGGUGAAUACGUUCCCGGGCCUUGUACACACCGCCCGUCACACCAUGGGAGUCGGUAACACCCGAAGUCGGUAGCCUAACCGUAAGGAGGGCGCCGCCGAAGGUGGGAUUGAUGACUGGGGUGAAGUCGUAACAAGGUAUC